GUGGGGAAUAUUGCACAAUGGGCGCAAGCCUGAUGCAGCGACGCCGCGUGGGGGAUGACGGCCUUCGGGUUGUAAACCUCUUUCACCAUCGACGAAGGUCCGGGUUUUCUCGGAUUGACGGUAGGUGGAGAAGAAGCACCGGCCAACUACGUGCCAGCAGCCGCGGUAAUACGUAGGGUGCGAGCGUUGUCCGGAAUUACUGGGCGUAAAGAGCUCGUAGGUGGUUUGUCGCGUUGUUCGUGAAAUCUCACGGCUUAACUGUGAGCGUGCGGGCGAUACGGGCAGACUGGAGUACUGCAGGGGAGACUGGAAUUCCUGGUGUAGCGGUGGAAUGCGCAGAUAUCAGGAGGAACACCGGUGGCGAAGGCGGGUCUCUGGGCAGUAACUGACGCUGAGGAGCGAAAGCGUGGGGAGCGAACAGGAUUAGAAACCCCAGUAGUCC
rnacentral:rRNA from 1 species